AACAAGCGUGUACCUAGUGUACAGAUGUGAGUGUGUAGUGUGAAAAGCUUGACUGUGCACACCAGGGGAUAGCACCGAUGACUAGUCGACUGGGCAGUAGGUCUAGGUACUGGCACUACUGCUAGUAGUAGGUGUCCUCAUUCUCAGCAUUCUGUGCGCAUAAUAAUACAUGACAGUCAGUGUGGACAUGAACUUGUACCUACAUACAGAUUAUCUCUUUUCUCUUGGUGAAAAUCAAGCAAGUGUUUGAUUUCAAAGCGCUAAGGCCUGAGGCCGACUUCGAGCGCUUCAUUCAGCACAAAAACCAUCUGCCAAUUCUAGUGUUAGCGACUGACGGUCAAAGCUUUCAGCGGCUAGCGGGUCGGUUGGAAGCAGUCGUUACAGCCCCACGCUGCGCUUGCACACCGGGUGGGGCCAGUGCCGUUUGUAGAUGGACGGGCUUGAGUUGGCAAUUGGUGACGCAUUCUCAUCCCCUGCUACAUUGUGGAGCGCAGAAGCUGCUACAAGGACAUACAAAACCCAGCAUCAUGGCUGAGAAACCAUCCAAGCUUGAAGAAUGUAAGUCAAUGUUUCCUAGCCCUCUACUUGUUUAUAACUAGUGUAUUUUGUCAUGUAGACCACGCCGGCUCUCAAAUGUGACGUCAAUAAUCUCAAGGCAUGAGUUGCACAGUGCGCAUAUUGAACACACUGCAUAGUUCACUUUACAUGUACAAGGAGUCAUAGGGAAUGUGUUUAACCAGUUUGGAUGUGAAGUAAGUUUGAAUGAGCUGCAAUGAUUUACUGUUUGUUCCUUUGUCCUUUGUUUGUGGCUAUUUUCCAUUUUUGCUUGCCCGGAAUGAUUUAAUUAAUCUUCACUUCACCAUUGCUGUGUCGGCUCAUCUCUUUGUUUGGAUUGUUAGCAUAUGGAUGUUGGUGAUGCUAACCGCACCAUGGAAAUAAAUAAUUGCUAGCCCUC